AGUGAACGCUGGCGGCGUGCCUAAUACAUGCAAGUCGAACGAAGUGGCGCACGGGUGAGUAAUAUAUAGUUAAUCUGCACUACACAGAGGAACAACAGUUGGAAACGACUGCUAAUACCUCAUAGUGUAGGAUGAGACUAUAUCGUAUCAGCUAGUUGGUAAGGUAAUGGCUUACCAAGGCUAUGACGCGUAACUGGUCUGUGAGGAUGAUCAGUCACAUUGGAACUGAGACACGGUCCAAACUCCUACGGGAGUCAGCAGUAAGGAAUAUUUCGCAAUGGGGGAAAACCUGACGAAGCAACGCCGCUUGGAGGAUGACACUUUUCGGAGCGUAAACUCCUUUUAUCAGGACAGCGUUACCUGAGAAAUAAGCACAGGCUAACUCCGUGCCAGCCGCCGCGUUAAUAC
rnacentral:rRNA from 1 species